GAUGAACGCUGGCGGCGUGCCUAAUACAUGCAAGUCGAGCGAACAGACGAGGAGCUUGCUCCUCUGACGUUAGCGGCGGACGGGUGAGUAACACGUGGAUAACCUACCUAUAAGACUGGGAUAACUUCGGGAAACCGGAGCUAAUACCGGAUAAUAUAUUGAACCGCAUGGUUCAAUAGUGAAAGACGGUUUUGCUGUCACUUAUAGAUGGAUCCGCGCCGCAUUAGCUAGUUGGUAUGGUAACGGCUUACCAAGGCAACGAUGGGUAGCCGACCUGAGAGGGUGAUCGGCCACACUGGAACUGAGACACGGUCCAGACUCCUACGGGAGGCAGCAGUAGGGAAUCUUCCGCAAUGGGCGAAAGCCUGACGGAGCAACGCCGCGUGAGUGAUGAAGGUCUUCGGAUCGUAAAACUCUGUUAUUAGGGAAGAACAAAUGUGUAAGUAACUGUGCACGUCUUGACGGUACCUAAUCAGAAAGCCACGGCUAACUACGUG
rnacentral:rRNA from 1 species